GAUGAACGCUGGCGGCGUGCCUAAUACAUGCAAGUCGAGCGAACAGACGAGGAGCUUGCUCCUCUGACGUUAGCGGCGGACGGGUGAGUAACACGUGGAUAACCUACCUAUAAGACUGGGAUAACUUCGGGAAACCGGAGCUAAUACCGGAUAAUAUAUUGAACCGCAUGGUUCAAUAGUGAAAGACGGUUUUGCUGUCACUUAUAGAUGGAUCCGCGCCGCAUUAGCUAGUUGGUAAGGUAACGGCUUACCAAGGCAACGAUGCGUAGCCGACCUGAGAGGGUGAACGGGCAAACUGGAACUGAGAAACCGGCCAGGCUCCUAAGGGAGGCAGCAGGAGGGAAUCUUCCGCAAUGGGCGGAAGCCUGACGGAGCAACGGCGCGUGAGUGAUGAAGGUCUUCGGAUCGUAAAACUCUGUUAUUAGGGAAGAACAAAUGUGUAAGUAACUAUGCACGUCUUGACGGUACCUAAUCAGAAAGCCACGGCUAACUACGUG
rnacentral:rRNA from 1 species